GGUUCUAAUAUUCCACAUGAACAGUCGCUUUACAAAGCCUGUCUUAUUUACCCAGUAGUGGGAGUGAUUGAAAUAGGUUCCUUAAUUCACUUUUAACAUGAAAUUAAAAUAUUUUUGAAAUCGGUCAAAGGAGACCCGAGAAAAAAACCGAUUCAAAUGUUCUCCUCAGAUAGUCACUUAACAAAGUCUUUGGCAUUUGCCCAGUACUGGGAGUGGUCAAAGUAGGUUCUUUACUUCACUCUUAACAUGAAAUCAAAAUAUUUUUGAAAUCAGUCCUUGGGGUCCGGAGAAAACCCGGUUCUAAUAUUCCACAUGAACAGUCGCUUUACAAAGCCUGACUUAUUUGCCCAGGAGUGGGAGUGAUUGAAAUAGGUUCCUUACUUCACUUUUAACAUGAAAUUAAAAUAUUUUUGAAAUCGGUCCCAGGGGUCCCGAGAAAAACCGUUUCAAAUGUUCUCCUUAGAUAGUCACUUAACAAAGUCUUUGGCAUUUGCCCAGUACUGGGAGUGGUCAAAAUAGGUUCUUUACUUCACUCUUAACAUGAAAUCCAAAUAUUUUUGAAAUCGGUCCCUGGGGUCCGGAGAAAAACCGGUUCUAAUAUUCCACAUGAACAGUCGCUUUACAAAGCCUGUCUUAUUUACCCAGUAGUGGGAGUGGUUGGAAUAGGUUCUUUACUUCACUUUAACAUGAAAUUAAAAUAUUUUUGAAAUCUGUCCCAGGGGUCCCGAGAAAAACUGAUUCAAAUGUUCUCCUUAGAUAGUCACUUAACAAAGUCUUUGGCAUUUGCCCAGUAGUGGGAGUGGUCAAAGUAGGUUCUUUUGCUUCACUCUUAACAUGAAAUUAAAAUAUUUUUGAAAUCGGUCCCUGGGGUCCGGGUGAAAAACCGGUUCAAAUAUUCUCCAUGAAGAGUCACUUUACAAGGCCUGAGCCAUUUGCCUAGUAGUGGGAGUGAUUGAAAUAGGUUCUUUACUUCACACAUGAAAUUAAAAUAUUUUUGAAAUCGGUCCCAGGGGUCCCGAGGAAAACCGGUUUAAAUGUUCCACAUGAACAGUCUGUUUACAAAGCCUAUGCCAUUUGCCCAGUAGUGGGAGUGGUUGGAAUAGGUUCUUUAAUUCACUCUUAACAAGAAAUCAAAAUAUUUUUGAAAUCGGUCCUAGGGGUCCUGAGAAAUUAAUCUGAUAAGACUUUUCUGCCAAAUAAGUCUUACUCAUAUGUACGUAUAUAGUCAAUCUCAAUGCUCAGGAUCUCGCUGUCAGGAUUCAGUACUGGAAAAUGUUGGAAUGGGUUAUUUUUUUUACUGUGAUUUUCAAAUAAAUUCUAAAAGCGUUGGAUUCUAAUAAGAACUGGGAAUGAUUUUAUGAAAAAAAGGCAAUUACCGCAAUAUUUUUGAAUUUACGUUUUAAAUCUACAAGGCGCCUGCGCUAUGAGCUAUCUUCUAGAAAAAUCUUAUCAAGACGAAUAAAAUAAGCUCGAACACGAGGUAGUUAGGCUCGAACAGGAGAUAGAAGUGGCAACACUGGUGGCCGGUUGUCAAAAAUAUGUGUCCUAGAUUUUAUUUUAAAAUUAAAUAGUUUUAGUGAUUUAAUUAUUGUAAAUGACCUUAGAAUCAGUAAAUUAAGUGAUUAGAUAUAUGGACAAAUGUUUGUGAGUGAUUUCGUUGCGAGACAACGAUAGAAAUCCAUCGGAAAGAAACUGGCUGUCAUCCCAACGGACGGAUUUGAAAGUGUUCGAAACGAACAUAAAACCCGGGGAGUAUUUGUUUAUUCUCUAUUUAUUAGAUACCCAGUCCCCUCAUUUAACAUUUUUUUUCUAUUACUUACAUGUUAAAUAACCACAUCUUUUUCAAGCUGCGUCUAAAUAUGCCCCAUCAAUUAUAAGUUUAAAUGUCUUCUACAUAACGAGAUCAGCUGAUUUGUGUGGUCAUUGUAAGAUCGUAUUUCAAAUCUUGAACCCUUCAUUAACUUCUUAUCAACAAUUUAUUACAAAUUAAAUUUUGUGAAGAAAUACUUUAAAAUACUUCAAUUUUCAAAUGAUACAUUAGGAAAAAAUAUACCCUCAACAACUUUUUAUUAAUAAUUUUGUUGUUGUUUUGUUGCUAUACCUAAUAGGUACAUAAUUUAGGUACUUAAAACUUGAUCAAACAAUACAGAAUACUCUUUUCCUUUUAAUUAGCUUUAGAAUCUUCAACUCUGUAUUAAUGUUAAUUACUUUUCUCCAAUCCUUUGCUUAUAAACUUUACUUCUAACUUUCUUUUCUUUUUCUUCCUUCACUUAGCUGUCUCUUCUCACAUUCCAGGGUGCCUCAGGGUUAGCUAUUCAUUAUGGUUACCCGCAGAGCUGCAUUUGAGGAAAAGUUGAGGGCUACGUUGAAAGAAUUGGAAACUAGCAAAAACCUGUGUAAACAGCUGCUACAAGAACGGGAUGAUAGCGAGGUAGAAGUUAAGGUUAUUGUAGACAAGAACACUGAACUUAAGAACCAGUUGGCUGAAUUACAUAUAGAACAUAUGGAUUUACUCGACCAAAAUCAACACCUAAAUCAACUUGUGUCGAACAUGCAAGAGUGCAGCGACACACAUGAACUGGCAUUAAGAAGGAUCUCUGAGCUGGAACAUGAGCUAAGCAGAGCCCACAACACCAUCACUCAGUUGGAGUCUGCAAAGUCCAGUGAACGGUCUGCGAACACCUGCAGCCUGUAUGAUGAGCUUGUUGGUAGUGCGUCCGGUUCUUGUAAUCAGCCAAUGAUAACAAUUGACUUGACCAAUGAGACUUUAGUACAGAAUAAAAUUACAAGUAAUACACACAACAAAAUUAAAAAAUAUUUAAAAAUGAAUAAGGUUGUCAAAAAACUUAAGAAAACUUUAAGAAAGUACACAGUUUUUAAAUCGAAUAACGUAUUAAGAAGAAAGAACAUUAAUUUAAUUAAAGAUUUAAAUAAUUGUGAACAUCAAUUGGACAUUAGUAGGACAAGGUAUGAUAGUGACAUCCAACGUUUACAAGCUGAACUUUGUUUAGUUUUGAGCACGUUACUCCAAUGGAUGUAAUUAAUGUUUUUAAAACUCUUAAAUUAAAAAAUACGGGUGAUUUUUGGGACAUUUCCAUCAAACUAUUAGGUAAUAUAAUUGACGUCAUUGCUCCUUACCUUGCUAUCAUAUUCAACAAGUGCAUUGACACUGGUGUUUUUCCUGACCUCAUGAAACACAGUAAAGUCAUACCUCUAUUUAAAUCAGGCAAUAAGUCAGACAUUAGUAAUUUUAGACCUAUUUCUAUCUUGCCUGCCUUUAGUAAAAUUUUCGAAAAGUUAAUACUCAAGCAGUUACUACGUUAUUUCAAUUUAAAUAGCCUCCUUCAUACAGAACAAUAUGGCUUUACCAAAGGUCGUUCUACCACAGAUGCUGGUGUUGCACUUUUAAAACAUAUUUAUAACGCAUGGGAAAAUUCUCAAAAUGCUAUUGGAGUCUUUUGCGACCUUUCCAAAGCUUUUGAUUGCGUCCAUCAUGAUACACUUUUACGCAAAUUACGGUUUUACGGAGUCCAAAACGGAGCUCUCAGCGUAAUAGAAUCGUAUUUACAACAUAGAUUGCAAUGUGUAGAUGUAAAUGGUUCUAAAUCAUCAGGCCUUCCAGUUCAGCUAGGCGUGCCACAAGGCUCUAUAUUAGGUCCAUUCUUAUUCUUAGUAUACAUCAAUGAUCUGCCUUACCACCUCAAUAAUAUCUGCGACGUUGUAUUAUUUGCAGAUGAUACGUCUCUCAUUUUCAAAGUUGACAGAAAUAGAGAGCAAUUUGAAGAGGUAAACAGUGCACUCUCAUUAGUUACGCACUGGUUUACCACAAACAAUUUAGUACUUAAUGCUAAAAAAACAAAAUGCAUUAAGUUCACUUUGCCUAAUGUAAAAAACCUAGGUCCUAAUGUUAUCCUAAACAACGAGGUUCUUCAAACCGUUGCAUCUACCGUGUUUCUGGGUAUAACAGUAGAUACAAAACUUCAAUGGGGUUCACAUAUUUCUAGCCUCGCGGGAAGGCUUAGUUCUGCCGCCUACGCCGUUAGGAAAGUCAGACAGUUCACGGACGUCGACACAGCUCGAUUGGUGUAUUUCAGUAAUUUUCACAGCGUUAUGUCCUACGGUAUUUUGUUGUGGGGCAAAGCCGCUGAUAUAGAGAAUAUAUUUAUUCUACAAAAACGUGCUAUACGUGCGAUAUACCAAUUAGGUACCAGAACUUCCCUCAGAGAGCUGUUUAAAGAAAUUGGUAUUCUUACUGUGGCAUCACAAUUCAUCUUUGCCAAUAUACUGUAUAUUAGACAGAACUUACAUUUAUAUACCAAAAAAAGUGAAGUCCAUAGCAUUAAUACAAGAAAUAAGCAUAAACUGUGUGUACCCUUUCACCGGCUUCAUAAAGUGCAUGGUUCAUUUCUGGGUCUAGGUAUUCGUUUCUAUAAUAAACUUCCUCUGUCUUUAUUAGAACAGCCGUUUAAUAAAUUCAAAGAACAAAUUAAGGCUAUUCUUAUUCAAAAGGCAUAUUACACAAUUAACGAUUAUUUGAAUGACAAAAAUAGUUGGUCGCCAUGUUGAACGCAAGACAGCUAUAUUAUAAUCAGUGGUCGGAAUAGGUAGAGCUAUUUGGGGUGAAUGACCGCAAACAUUGAUAUUAACAUGGACAUGCCUCUGAAAUCCCGGGAUUUUGAAAUUGUCGAUUGAUUUAAGUGAGUUAAUAUGGGUAAGUGGGCAGUUAUGAGCAGGUAGUAGGUGAGCACCCAAACAGUAUAUACUUACUUAUAAACACACACAGGGAUCCUGGAACGUUGUUAGAGGUAGCUUCGUGAAAUAUGAAUUAAUUAAGUAAAACUGUUAGAAACGAUACUAAAUAUACUUUACUGCACAAGGAAAUAUUAAAUGCCUACACAAUACAGAAUAGAAAAAGAUAAUAUCGCUGCCACCGGCUGGAGGUACGCGACGGCUGAGGGGGAGCGCGAGGGGAGUGCUAGCGCCGGGUUUACGCGGGCAGCGGGAGGGGCGCGGGAUCGGCGGGCACGAGCGCUCGCCUGCGCCGCUGCGAGCGAGACGGCGCUUCUCAUUUUACCACGGCGGUGACGCCGCAUUUUGUUAUUUCGUAUUUAUUGUAAUUAAUGUAAUACACAAUUGUCAAAUCAGUCUACGAGUUUUCCUGACCAGCUCCUGCUACACUAAGUUAUCGAUACAUCAAGAACAAACCAAUUUAUCUCUCUUUUAUUAUUAUAUGUUUAUGCUCCAUGUUGCCAACCCGUCGUAAGCGCUGUUUUCGUCGCUUAUUUUUUGUCUCUUUCUAUCUUAAAACGUCUAAAGUAUUAGCUGUCUCACUUAUACAAAUACAGGUACAGCGGGCUUCACUCACUCUUUUGUUUCGGCUUGUAGAGUGCGCACGUGUGAUUUAUUGUGUUCCUUAUUUUAUUUGACGUUGGCUUGUUAACUGGUUUCUGGAAUCUUACUAACACGAAUACUUUGGCUUGGAUUUACGAAUUUUGAUUUGUUUUUUGCGGACUGGAUACAUUUGAAACUGUUUAUUUGAUUUACCUACCACAUUUGGGGCGAUAAACAAGAAAAGCCAAAAAUGCCAAAUAUCAAGGAAGAAACAGUACAAAAGUGGAUAUCCGAAUAUCCAGAGCUGUUAUACGACCACGCUAGUCGUUCAAUAUAUUGCUCGAAGUGCGAGAGCCAUAUAACGGCGAAAAAAUGUAACA